rnacentral:rRNA from 1 species
AGAAUCAACGCUGGCGGCGUGCCUAACACAUGCAAGUCGAACGAGAAAGUGGGAGCAAUCCCACGAGUAAAGUGGCGCACGGGUGAGUAACACGUGACUAACCUACCCUUGAGUGGGGGAUAACCUAGGGAAACCUGGGCUAAUACCGCAUAAUACCUACGGGUCAAAGGAGCAAUUCGCUUUAGGAGGGGGUCGCGGCAGAUUAGUUAGUUGGCGGGGUAAUGGCCCACCAAGGCAGUGAUCUGUAUCCGGCCUGAGAGGGCGCACGGACACACUGGAACUGAAACACGGUCCAGACUCCUACGGGAGGCAGCAGUGGGAAUUUGCGCAAUGGGGGAAACCCUGACGCAGCAACGCCGCGUGGAGGAUGAAGCCCCUUGGGGCGUAAACUCCUUUCGAUCGGGAAGAUAAUGACGGUACCGGAAGAAGAAGCCCGGCUAACUUCGCGCCAGCCAGCCGC